UUCUCAAUGCUCAUCUACUUCGCAUGACGAUCACUCUUCCAGAAAUAAUCAAUCAGUUGAAUUUUUAAUUUUUAAUAUAGAACAUCAAAUUGAUGUUAAGUUUAGGUGGAUUUUGCUAUUGUUGGAUCAUUACUGGUUCUGUUAUAGGUUAAUUUCUCUAAUCUUAAUAACUUCAAUUUUAUGAGCACCAAGUGUUCGAUGAAAUUCCACAAUGAAAUGUUAAUGGUACAACUCCAGUUCGAACCAAAUACCCUUGUAGUAGCCAAGACCUCUGUUUCCGAUUUGCAUGCAUACUUUUGGUUUCAAACUCCGUAGGACAUUAUAUUCUAUCAAUCUCUUUUUUUAAAUACCAAAAUGUGCAUAGUUUUAACGCAGGUUGUUGAAAUGUUGUGGUUUGGGAAACUAUUCAAAUGGAGUGAGUGGCGGUAUUGUGCAUGGUGGCAGAGGGGGUACUGAACUGUAUCAUGGAAGGCUGAGUGAAGGUAGUACAACAUAUGCCAAACCAGCUCUUUCCCUCUUUAUCUAUUACUGGAGGCCAUGGUGUCCUUGUUGGUGGUGGUUCAUUUCCACUGGUCCAAAAUUGGCACAACAGAUGACUAUGUUCCUCUUGCAAUGAUAAAUACUACUAACAACACUUGGAGUGGUGAAGGGAAUGGAGAGGCUCUCCCUAGGGAGGAUGGUACAGCAACUAAAGGAUUUUAUGGUACAUUCGGCAAGAUAUAUUUGGAAUGUCCAGUUGGCAUUUUUAAAGAUGUGGAAGAAACUAAUGAUCAAAUUAUUAUUUGACACAUAUUCAUGUAAUGCCUUGAGGGAAUGAGACUGCUUCUGAGAUGUGCAAGAAACUAAUGAGCAUGUGAAGAUUGAUGGGACACAUGAAAGUGAAACUAAGGAUAUAGUGGGAAUGACUGAAGAAAUAGUUUUGGAUGUGCCAUCAGAAAUGACUUAUUUGCCCCUUACUCGUCAACCACUUGAUAAGGAUGAUGAUAAUACUAGCAUUAGAGUGACUGAACCUAUCAAAACGUUUUCUCCCAAGGUAAAGCAUGCAUCAGAAAAGAAACUUACAAGGGCAACACUACUUAAGCAAACAUUUAUCGGUUUCAAAAACACGCGUCUAAUGAAGCAUCCAAAGGUUCAAUGAAACCUAGAACAAGUGGAAAGAAAGGUUAAAGAUCUGAAAAAGAAUUCAAAGCUCAAUCUUCAUUAUUAAAGUAGUCUCUUCCCUACUGUUAACAGGCCAAAACAGACAAUUAGUUCAAGCAAAUCACUCGGAGUUGAUUGUAAUUUUUUUUACGACUAUGUGUGUGCUACAUGGUAUGUGAUGGAAACAGGGGUGUGAAAUUUUAAUGAGAAGUAGUCAGGCAUGUUAAAUUUGUGUUAAGUCAAGAGCUGCAAUUUUCAUGGUAUGAAGUGAAAAAAAGAUUUUAAUAUGUCAAAUUUAUGGAGGAAACAAAGGACUCAAAGGAACAAAACUUUUGGUACUUAGGUUUUCUACAUGGUAAGAAAUGGCAACGUGUUUUCAUUUUUGUUUCAUAUACAGGCAUCAUACUUUAAAAAUGCACAAUUAUAGCAUUGUACUUUCAAUUUUAUCUUUACUAAGACCUUAUACCUUCAAAUUACCGCAUAAACUUGCUUUGUAUUUGGAUGACAUUGUUAUAAAUUGGUAUAUUUCAUUAACGUAGUAUGAAAGUUCAUUGUUAUUUCUUGCAUUUAACCAUUUCUAAUAUCAUUCUUGCAGAUUGUUGGAUAGUCGAAUAUUUUGCCAGUUUAAGAGAGUUUACACGAGAUGCUUCAGUCUCACGGAACUCAGCAAUGAGUAGCAGGCCACCAACAGGUCCAGCACUGCCAACUCCAAUAAUCAUUUUUGUUUUUAGAUAUUGUAGGUUUAUUUAAAUUUGAGAAUAGUUUUUGUUUUAUCUUUAUAAAUGAAUCAUAGUAUAUUUUACCAUUGACUACUUACUUAAAUGGGUUAAAUACAAAAAAUAGUAACAAAAACCAGUGACGACUUUUUAUGGUCA